GAGUAAAGAUUUCGGUCGCUUUGGGAGGAGCUCGCUUACUAUCAGCUUGUUGGUAGGGUAAUGGCCUACCAAGGCUAUGACGGUUAGGGGGUGUGAGAGCAUGACCCCCAGCAUUGGCACUGAAACACUGGCCAAACACCUACGGGUGGCUGCAGUCGAGAAUCUUCCACAAUGGGGGAAACCCUGAUGGAGCGAUGCUGCGUGCGGGAUGAAGGCCUUCGGGUUGUAAACCGCUUUUGUAGGGGACGAAAUUUUUGACGGUACCCUUUCGAAUAAGAGGUUGCUAACUCUGUGCCAGCAGCAGCGGUAAUACAGAGACCUCAAGCGUUAUCCGGAUUUACUGGGCGUAAAGCGUCUGUAGGGGGUUUAUUAAGUUCCAAGUAAAAUUUCAAGGCUCAACUUUGAAUUCGCUUGGAAAACUAAUAAACUGGAGUCUAGCAGAGGUGCAUGGAACUUGUGGUGUAGGAGUGAAAUCCGUUGAUAUCACAAGGAACACCAAAGGCGAAGGCAUUGCACUGGGCUAGCACUGACCCUGAGAGACGAGAGCGUGGGGAGCAAAACGGAUUAGAUACCCGUGUAGUCCACGCCCUAAACGAUGAAUGCUAAAUGUUCGGGGAUUCGACCCCCUGGGUGUUACAGCUAACGCGUUAAGCAUUCCGCCUGGGAAGUACGGCCGCAAGGCUAAAACUCAAAGGAAUAGACGGGGAUCCGCACAAGCGGUGGAGCGUCUGGUUUAAUUCGACAGUAAGCGUGGUACCUCACCAGGGUUUGACAUCCCUUGACAGCCUUGGAAACAAGGUUUCCUUCGGGCAAGGUGACAGGUGCUGCAUGGUCGUCGUCAGUUCGUGCCGUGAGGUGUUCCGUUAAGUCGGGAAACGAACGAAACCCCUAUUGCAUGUUACAAUUUCUCAUGCAAGACUGCCCGGAUAUACUGGGAGGAAGGUGGGGAUGACGUCAGAUCUGCAUGGUCCUUAUACCCUGGGCGACACAGGCGCUACAAUGGCAGAGACAAAGGGUUGCAAAACCGCAAGGUGAAGCUAAUCCCAAAAACUUUGUCUAAGUUCGGAUUGAAGGCUGCAAUUCGCCUUCAUGAAGCUGGAAUCGCUAGUAAUCGUGAAUCAGCCACGUCACGGUGAAUAUGUUCCCGGAUCUUGUACUCACCGCCCGUCACACCAAGAGAGUUGGUAGCUCCCGAAG
rnacentral:rRNA from 1 species